ACAAAAUUCUCUUCCCUCUUCUCUUUAGAAAGAGAAAAGAAAAAACAGACUCAUUUUAUAUUACAGAUGGAAGGUUCAAAAAUUCUAAAAAUACUUUUGAUUUUUUAAUUAUUUGGCUAAAUUACAAAAAACCACUCUAUCAAAAUCUGAUUUUUCACUGCAAACGGGGCGGAUCUGGGGGCGGGAGACCCGGCCCGCCUCCCGCCCCGACUAGCAAAAAUCCGCCCCGCCUCCCGCCCCGAAUUCGUGACGGGUUAAAAAAUACAUCCCAUAAUCCGCCCCGCCUCGUAACCCGCCUUCCGCCGGCGCCCCGAAUCCGCCCCGCCAACUAAUAUUUUUUAUAAAAUUAUAAUAUUAUUAAUAUUUUGUAAAAUAUAAAAUAAUAAUUUUUAAUAAUAUUAUAUAUAUAAUUUAACAAUAUUAAUUGUAAAAAUUAAAAAUAUCAAUCACAAUUCAAAACAAAAUUCAAAUAUUUCAAAUACAUUAGAAAUGAGAGUAAUAACUUAUUUGUAUUUUAAACUUUUUUUAUAAAUAUAUUAUUUUUUGGGAAUAUUUUUUAAAAAUACAAAUGAUAUUCGGGGCGGAUUCGGGGCGGAUCAUGGUGGGGCGGAUUCGGGGCGGAUUCGGGGCGGGUUAAAAUUUUUCCCGUUUCCUGCCCCGAAUCCGUCUCGGAUCGUAAAACUUAUCCCGUUUCCUGCCCCGAAUCCCUUUAUUUUCUCCCAUUUACUGCUCCCGUCGGGGCGGAUCGGGGCGGGAGCUCCACCAACCCGGAUCCGUUUGCAUCCCUAUGCACCAACAUAAUUCCCUUCGCUCUCCUCUCUCUAAAUAGAAAAGAAAAAAGAGUGAAAAAGUUACUAUUUGUCUCUUCUCGCACAUCAACAAAAUUCUCUUCCCUCUUCUCUUUAGAAAGAGAAAAGAAAAAACAGACUCAUUUUAUAUUACAGAUGGAAGGUUCAAAAAUUCUAAAAAUACUUUUGAUUUUUUAAUUAUUUGGUUAAAUUACAAAAAACCUCUCUAUCAAAAUCUGAUUUUUCACUUCUCCUCUUAUUAUUUAAAAACCUACAUAUUAUCCUCCUAAAAAAUAAAAAAUGUUCACAGGAGUACGAUAUUAACUGUAUUGAGAAAAUGACCAAAAUGCCCUCUUCCUCUUCGGUUCCUCCCCAACCCUCCAUUUGUAGAAGGGCAUUUUCGAUAUAAAAAAUAUAUAAUAAUAGAAUAUAGAUGGAACUAUAACGGAACAUUGACGGCGGAGUCCGAAGUGAAUAUUUUUUUAUUUUUUAAAGGGGCAAAGUGUAGAUUUUUUAAUUAACAAGAAGAAAAGUUAAAAAAUAGAUUUUGACAAAAAUUUUUUUUAUAAUUUAACAUUUUUAUUUUUAAGACUAUAAAAUUAUGGUUACGAUCACCCUCGAUACUGGUAAUAGAAUGACGUUGAAGAAUUUUGAGGCGUCGAGACAACCCGCUAAGCAUUGCUGUAAGCUUUUUACACUUUUUACUAAGUUUAUUUCUAAAUAAAAUAAACGAAGCGGGUAGCAUACUACCUAUCUCUCUCUCCAAAAAAAAA
rnacentral:lncRNA from 1 species